CAGACAGAUGCCUUGGGAAACUACAGUUAAUCCGCGUGUCGCAGGUUCGAAUCCUGCCCCGCUCCAAGCGGGUAGCUCAGUUGGUAGAGCAUCGGCUGUUUCCCAAAAACCUAGCUGCCCGCCG
rnacentral:Y_RNA from 1 species